GGCGGCGUGGUGUAGGUCGUGUAGGUUAAAGUUUAUUUAUAGCAUGAAAUUAAUUGUAAUGAACAAUUCAACAUUGUCAAGAUGUAUAUUAAUUCAAAACGCCAUAGGGUGCACUGCAGUAGAGAAUUAAAAACUAAUAUACUAGUAACAAACCAUUGAGAAGGAUGUUCCUGUUCAUUUUGCACUUGCUGAACACCGACAGCAGAACGGAUUCAAUUUGGUCAUUUGGUCUCAGCAAACUCUUAAAGCAGUCAUCACAUUUUUUGGCUACAGAAAAUGAUCUGGCCUUCCUAGCCACAUACCCUGCAAACAUCUCAAAUGCAUAC